AUCCAGCUGACGAGUCCCAAAUAGGAUAAAACACGCGUCAAACUGGAU
rfam:Schistosoma rodhaini strain Burundi genome assembly, scaffold: SROB_scaffold0000676